AAAACAUAUUUAAUAGAAUUAAUUAUUAAUAUAGCCUGCUCAAUGCAAUGUAAAUAGCCGCAGUUCCUACUGUGCUAAGGUAGCAUAAUCAUUUGCCUUUUAAUUAAAGACUAGAAUGAAAGGUAUAACAUUUAAAUUACUAUAUAAAAUCUUUAUAUUUAAAUUUAAUUUAAAUGUAAAAAAGCAUUUAUUCUCAAGAAAGACGAUAAGACCCUAUUGAACUUAACUUUAGUUUAACUGGGGUAGUUAAAUAAUUAAUACUUUAUAUAAAAAUUUCAAUAAAAAUGACCUAACAUAAUUAAUUUAAUGAACAAGUUACCAUAGGGAUAACAGCGUAAUAUUUUUCUAUAGAUCUUAUAAAAAAAAAAGAUUACGACCUCGAUGUUGAAUUAAUUAUUCUAAUAAAAGCAAAAUUUUAUAAAGAAAGUCUGUUCGACUUUUAAAUAAUCACAUGAUCUG
rnacentral:rRNA from 1 species